UACAGAGGGUGCUAGCGUUGUUCGGAAUCAUUGGGCGUAAAGGGCGUGUAGGCGGUUUGUUAAGUCAUGUGUGAAAUCCCUCGGCUCAACCGGGGAAGGACGCAUGAAACUGGCGAGCUAGAGUACCAAAGAGGGGGGGGUGGAAUUCCCGGUGUAGCGGUGAAAUGCGUAGAUAUCAGGAGGAACACCGAUUGCGAAGGCAGCUCGCUGGGACGUGACUGACGCUGAGACGCGAAAGCGUGGGGAGCAAACAGG
rnacentral:rRNA from 1 species